AACGCACCUUGCACCUCUUGGUAUUCUGAGAGGUACACCUGUUUGAGUGUCAUUAAUCUCUCCACUCUUAUACAUUAUGUUUAGUGCAUGAAUAAGAGCUGGGAUAUUGGGGGUCAUUUUAUGCAGUUUGACACUUCAAUCUGCUCCCCUUGAACACAUUAGCAAAGUCUGUAUAGCUGCUGUAAUAGGUGUGUUAGUUGUUCAAACAAAUCACCUUUUUUUAGUAGACAUUGAGUUGCUUUGCUUCAAGUCGUGCUGUUAAUUGAGCACAAUUAGCUUUGGCUUUUGAAAUCAUGACCUCAAAUCAGGUGGGACUACCCGCUGAACUUAA
rnacentral:misc_RNA from 1 species